AUUUAACCAGAGAUAAGCAGGUUGUUAUGAAAUACAUGUACAUGUGUGACUGGUCUUUGUUAUGUAGGAAUUAAAGUAACAAAUUAAGGAUACGUUUUAGGGAAAAUAUAGGUCGUUGACAUACAUAGGAUAGUCUCAAGAUGCUGCAAUCCAAAAUUGGUUUCGUGCUAAAUGUUUUAUUCAUUGUGUAUUUUACAUCAAAGUCAGCAAAUGGGCAAACUGGCCAAACGGUGACCUUGGCAUGUAGGAGUUGCAACAGAGCUUCUAGCCUAGACCAAUGUAGCGGAUCUUUAACAUGUGGCGUCAAUGAAGUAAGC